rnacentral:rRNA from 1 species
UGAGGAAUGUUGGUCGAUGGACGCAAGGCUGAACCAGCCAAGUAGCGUGCAGGAUGACGGCCCUAUGGGUUGUAAACUGCUGUUAGAUGGGGGUAAAGUGGGGAACGUGUUUCCUUUUGCAGGUACCAUAUGAAUAAGGACCGGCUAAUUACGUGCCAGCAGCCGCGGUAAUACGUAAGGUCCGAGCGUUGUCCGGAAUCAUUGGGGGUAAAGGGUACGUAGGCGGGUAAGCAAGUUAGAAGUGAAAUCCUGUAGCUCAACUACAGGAAGCUUUUAAAACUACUCAUCUUGAGAUAUGGAAGGGAAAGUGGAAUUCCUAGUGUAGCGGUGAAAUGCGCAGAUAUUAGGAGGAAUACCGGUGGCGAAGGCGACUUUCUGGCCAUAAUCUGACGCUGAGGUACGAAAGCGUGGGUAGCAAACAGG